AUGGAAGAAUUGAUCAGCUGCUUGCAUGCUUGCCGUGCUGCCAUGAUCAAUCUAGCACUGUGGAUUGCUCACCGGCGACGGAUAGAGCCAGAGGCAUCAUAUCUUGGUCUGACGGGGGGACUGUGGAGAUGUGGACCUGCAUGGCUCCUGGUCGUGUUGGCCAGCGCGACCAUGGCCGCCAACUCCGGAUCCGCUCCCCGUGGCAAGUCACAAGAGAGAUGGGGAAUGAACAAACAGGAAGAGCUUGGCUUGGUUGAUCGAGGACAUGGGCAAUUUGGGCCCACCUGUAAGAGGCAAAUCCUCAAAGUCCCAACUAAAAAGUGCAAAAUAUCAAUUGCAAAGUAG
rnacentral:rRNA from 1 species